UGAUCUCUCAAGCAUAUUCCUAAGUAUAUAAAAUCUUUUGUUGCUGAAGUGUUCUGAGAUGCAUGGUUAAAACAACCUUCAUCCCCUAAGAUCUACUUUUUAAGUCUAACAUCUCCUGUAGUUAUCAACAGCAUAUAUGGCCUCUAGAGAUUGGUAGAGCGUCGUGUAGGGAAAGAG